AGAGAGGUACCAGCUCACUGGAAAAGCAUUGUCCCAAUUUUCAAGAAGAGCAAGAAGGAGGACCCUGGAAACUACAGGCCUGUCAGUCUCACUUCAAUGCCUGGUAAAGUUAGGGAAGAGAUUAUGCUGGGAGGUGUUGAAAAACACCUGAAAGACAACACAGCCAUUGGUCACAGGCAGCAUGGAUUCCUGAAAGUCCUGUUUAUCCAACCUGAUUCCUUUUAUGACAAGUGGAAGCUGACCACUUACUGGACCUACGAAGUGGUUUACGGCUAAGGCUGAAGGAAAAUGUUACCUUUCGAACUGAAGGAAAAACAAGCAUAUAGGGAAAACACAGCAUCUUCCUUGUUUUGCUCCUGAAGUACAAGUAAUGUAUAACCAUUUAGAAUAGCACCAAAUAAUGGGAUCACUCCUAUGGGAUGCCAUGCUCAUGUUUUGAAGUAAAAGACACGCACAAGCAAGGCAUUCACCAACUGGCCCACCACAGUCCCCAAGGACUUGACCCAGAUUCCACCCAAUUACUUGUGAGUUUUCCAGUAAACCAACCGGACGAGGAGUAAUCACCUGUGAAUGCAGAGAGACGGGC